CUUGACCGACCCGAGCAGCAACGGCCGCUCCGGAUCGCGGUCCCGGCCGUAGGUCGCGAUCAACGCCUGGGCCUC
rfam:Pseudonocardia sp. EC080619-01, complete genome.